rnacentral:rRNA from 1 species
GACGAACGCUGGCGGCGUGCUUAACACAUGCAAGUCGAACGGAAAGGCCCUGCUUUUGUGGGGUGCUCGAGUGGCGAACGGGUGAGUAACACGUGAGUAACCUGCCCUUGACUUUGGGAUAACUUCAGGAAACUGGGGCUAAUACCGGAUAGGAGCUCCUGCUGCAUGGUGGGGGUUAGAAAGUUUCGGCGGUUGGGGAUGGACUCGCGGCUUAUCAGCUUGUUGGUGGGGUAGUGGCUUACCAAGGCUUUGACGGGUAGCCGGCCUGAGAGGGUGACCGGCCACAUUGGGACUGAGAUACGGCCCAGACUCCUACGGGAGGCAGCAGUGGGGAAUAUUGCACAAUGGGCGGAAGCCUGACGCAGCAACGCCGCGUGCGGGAUGACGGCCUUCGGGUUGUAAACCGCUUUCGCCUGUGACGAAGCGUGAGUGACGGUAAUGGGUAAAGAAGCACCGGCUAACUACGUG